CCAAAAAUCAAAAUCAGAAAAACUCCGACCUAGGUUUUUGUAAUAAUUUUCUCCAAGAGAUGGCUCGAUUUCGGAAUAAGAAGAAGACGCCAUUUGUUAGACCGAUUGCAAGGAAACAGCCAACCGUAGACCACGUAACAGGAAAAAAACUCAGCAAGAGUUUCGUGUUUUCUCGGGGCAAGUUACCCGACGUUCUCAGACAAUUACAGAGGGAUUUAAGGAAAGUUAUGCUUCCUUACACCGCUUUAAAGCUCAAGG